GAUGAACGCUAGCGGCAGGCUUAAUACAUGCAAGUCGAGGGGCAGCACGGGUAGCAAUACUGGGUGGCGACCGGCAAACGGGUGCGGAACACGUACACAACCUUCCUGUGGGUGGGGGAUAGCCCAGAGAAAUUUGGAUUAAUACCUCAUAGUAUAUUGGAGAAGCAUUUUUCUGAUAUUAAAGAUUUAUCGCCUAUAGAUGGGUGUGCGUAUGAUUAGGUAGUUGGCGGGGUAACGGGCCCACAAGCCUCCGAUCAUUAACUGGUGGGAGGGCCCGACCAGUCACACGGGCACUGAGACACGGGCCCGACGCCUACGGGAGGCAGCAGUAAGGAAUAUUGGUCAAUGGACGGAAGUCUGAACCAGCCAUGCCGCGUGGAGGAUGACUGCCCUCUGGGUUGUAAACUGCUUUUAACUGGGAAGAAAGCAGCUCAUGCGUGAGAAUUUGACGGUACCAGUUGAAUAAGCCACGGCUAACUACGUGCCAGCCGCCGCCGUAACAC
rnacentral:rRNA from 1 species